GCUAGAACACAUAUAUAUCUUGCAACCCCACUAAAAUCAAAGACAGGCAGCUACAUCUCAUGAUCUCUUUGCCGCAUCAGAUGUGUGCAUUGGGGAUGAGAAAUGGACAAUUAAAAGGUUUCUCCAGCUUCCAUGACCACAUCUGCUUUUUGAAGUUUCCAUGGAGUAAGGAAUCUGGCAUUGCAGUGUUUCAGCUUGAAACAAUGCAUAGUGAGAGUUAUUGGCACUUGUGUGCCGGGGGCUAGUUACAC